rnacentral:rRNA from 1 species
GAUGAACGCUGGCGGCGUGCCUAAUACAUGCAAGUCGAGCGAACAGACGAUGAUCUUGCGCCUCGGACGUUAGCGGCGGACGGGUGAGUAACGCGUGGAUAACCUACCUAUAAGUCGGGUAUAACUUCGGGAAACCGGAUCUAAUACCGGAUAAGAUAUUGAACCGCAUGGUUGAAUGGUGAAAUACGGUGGUGCUGUCACGUAUAGCUGGAUCCGCGCCGCAUUGUGGAGUUGGUAAGGUAACGGCCUACCAAGGCAACGAUGCGUAGGCGAACUGAGAGGGUGAUCGCCCACCUUGGAACGGAGACAGGGUCCAGACUCCUACGGGAGGCAGCAGAAGGCAACCUUCCGCAACGGGCGAGAGUCUGACGGAGCAAGGCCGAGUGAGUGAUGACAGCCUUCGGAUCGUAAAACUCGGUUAUUAGGGAAGAACAACUGUGUAAGUAACUAUGGAGGUAUUGACGGUAACGAAUCAGAAAGCACCGGCUAACUACGUG